CCUCACAUGAGAUGUUCAAUCGCUAUCAAGACGUUUAUAAAACUGGCAUCGAGCAUAGUCUGUUUGGGGAUGUAGACAAGAUGGGUUACCCCAAGCUACCAGUAACUAUGCUGGAUGAUGGCUUGGUUUUGGUUAAUACUUUUGAAGACACCUUUGGCGACGUAUGGGGUGAAGGUGUCUGGAGGGAACUUGGGAAAAAUGCUUCUGACAUAAGUCGCAUUGUUGUCG